rnacentral:rRNA from 1 species
GAUGAACGCUGGCGGCGUGCUUAACACAUGCAAGUCGAACGGAAAGGCCCAAGCUUGCUUGGGUACUCGAGUGGCGAACGGGUGAGUAACACGUGGGUGAUCUGCCCUGCACUUCGGGAUAAGCCUGGGAAACUGGGUCUAAUACCGGAUAGGACGAUGGUUUGGAUGCCAUUGUGGAAAGUUUUUUCGGUGUGGGAUGAGCUCGCGGCCUAUCAGCUUGUUGGUGGGGUAGUGGCCUACCAAGGCGUCGCCGGGUAGCCGGCCUGAGAGGGUGUACGGCCACGUUGGGAAGGAGAGAACGGCCGGACUCCUACGGGAGGCAGGAGUGGGGAAUGUGGCGAAAGGGGCGAAGGCCGGAAGCAGCGAGGCCGCGGGGGGGAUGACGGCCUUCGGGUUGUAAGCCUCUUUCAGAAGGGACGAAGAGAAAGUGGCGGUACCUGCAGAAGAAGAACGGGCCAACUACGGG